AUAAGGAACAGUGCAAUUUCUUAUAAUGAGUUCUUUAAUCUGAAAUACCUAUUAUUCCUUGCUUUAAAAUUAUUGUGUAUUUUUAUUACGUUUGCAGGAACUAAAGGUGAUUUGCAAACACAAUUUCCAGAAUAGAUAAUUUCAACAUCGGAAGUUUGCAAAGAAAACACAGAAGGAGGAGACAUUUGACUGCACGUAGAUCUUCUAAGGAAAGAUACUACCUGUCUGCAGAACAGAUGGAGUGCUGUCUCUGCACAGAUGUCUUUAUAACCAUUUCUGGUUUUAUUUUGGUUCUUUCGUAAAAAUGUUAUACAAGGAGCAAGACAAAGUAUUAUCAAGGAUAUAUUAAUGAAACGGUGAGGAAUCCAAAGACUUAGUAACUUACUCAAUACUCUGCCUCCACAGACCAUUUCUGCAUGUAUCUGAGCUUCUACCAUGCCUCAUGAUGUAUUUUUUUAAGCAGUGAGUUUAAAACCUUAACUAAAAGUUACUAACUUGCAAUGUUCUGAACAAUUUU
rnacentral:lncRNA from 1 species